rnacentral:lncRNA from 13 species
GUUCAAUAUCAUAUUUUCUUGUUAUUUUAAUUCGUUUUGUUUUACUAUUACAAUUUCCUAAUUUUUGACUUGAAUAUCUUUAUUUUUUUUACUGGUUAUAUUUUCUUGUUGAUUUUUGUGUCACUCAUUAGCGAUCAAUUCAGACCAAUGUUCCGAAACUAGUGUCUUUCACACGUUCCUUGAGGCCACUCUAAUAUGUUAAGACGCUCGGGAGAUUGAUGAAGAUGGAAUCGCUUUUUUAUAGUCUCCAUUUGUCUGAUAUUUGAACUUUGUAAACACACUGAAGAAGACCGUUAUUAAAAGGUUGAAAUGUUUGAUUUCAUUUACCAAUGUGUUUUAAAUUUCGCACACAACAUCCAGCGCGGCUCUCUAGCUCUUUAAUUUUCGUUAAUUAAUGAAUCUUUUAAUUUCCUAAUUAAAAAGAAAAUAUAUUAUUCUUUGAAAUAUA